GGAAUCAAGCGAAUGACAGCGCGUGAGUGUGUGUGGAGAGAGAACGGAAUCAAGCGAAUGAGAGCGCGUGAGUGUGUGUGUGGAGAGAGAGAACAGAGUCAAGCGAAUGAGAGCGCGUGAGUGUGUAUGUGGAGAGAGAGAACGGAAUCAAGCGAAUGAGAGCGCGUCAGUGUGUGUGUGGAGAGAGAGAACGGAAUCAAGCGAAUGAGAGCGCGUGAGUGUGUGUGUGGAGAGAGAAC
rnacentral:lncRNA from 1 species